GACAGAGGGUGCAAACGUUUGUUCGGAAUUACUGGGCGUAAAGCGCGUGUAGGCUGCUCUGCAAGUCGGAUGUGAAAGCCCCGGGCUCAACCUGGGAAGUGCACUCGAAACUGCAGAGCUCGAGUCCUGGAGAGGAAGGCGGAAUUCUCGGUGUAGAGGUGAAAUUCGUAGAUAUCGAGAGGAACACCGGUGGCGAAGGCGGCCUUCUGGACAGUGACGUGACGCUGAGACGCGAAAGCGUGGGGAGCAAACAGGG
rnacentral:rRNA from 1 species